CCCUCCCCCCCGCGCGCCUCUCCCGCCCCGCCCUGCACUAGAUUUUCAGCAUAAACUGGUGUAUCUGCUGUUUAACUAGUGUAGCUUUACAUUUUGUUUUUCCUUUUCAGAACUAUUGAUCCGUAUAUUAUCUAAAAAAGCUGUUGAAUCGACGAGGAAAGCCUAGGAAGGGAGGGGCUGGAGGAUAAUUUGGGAUAUGGUUACAUUUAGUUUGAUUUGUGUGACUAGCUAGAUGCUUAUCCGAUUAGAUCCAAUCUCCAUGAAUUGAUUAUCAUAGCCAUCUGGUUUAAGGUAUUAUAAUAAUAUGUUGCAUAACCACAUUGAUGUUCCUUUUCCCCCUGCGUAAUAACAGGGUCGUAAGGAAGAUUUUGAUUCUCUGACAGUUGUGCGGUUUGGCGGUGAAGUCGAAACGACUAUCAGUUUUGAUCACCACUGUGGGGACUCAGAUGCUUCCCUAGAUCUCCAUGUCAAUCUGACAUCGAGAGUUACCUGAACACAGAUAACAGAUCGGCGGGAUUCAGAUGAUAUUUAGACAAAAGGCUCAAGCAGAGCUCGGCUUUAAAUUAAUAAAGCCACAACAACAGCGUCACAACAGAGAGAGACAUCGAUAAGCUCAAGUCGGAGAGUCCCUAAUGGUGCCGUGGAGAGUGCGAAUCUGGCUAAUCAUAAUCUCCAGCGCGUUUCUGUCCUACUGCUUUAGCCACUAUCAAUUUAGCAGAGAAGAUGGAUCCAUAUGGAUGUUCUUUUGUUAUUGAGUCUAGUCGCCUAUCUUUUUGCCACCGCUUUGCAAGUUCAUCAACGCAUGUACUGAUGCUUAUUGUUAAAUUUUGGUAUAUGCUACUUUACCUUCUGAAGUUCUGCUAGCAUGUGCGUCCUCAACAACUCUUCCACCUGAUGACUCCACCUGCCUCCAGUCUGCCUCACUUUAGGAAAUUAGCCAGAGUCUAUCUUCAGGUCUUUUAGCAUUAUUUAUUUUUCCCUCCUUUUUAAAAGUUGUGUAAUUAAAAUGGGAGAUGAUCAAUUAAUAUAGACCACCAUGCACUGAAAGACAUACUAAAACUAACCCGAUAAACAAUCACUGAAUGAAAAAGACAAACAGAUAGCUACUAGAGUACACAGGUGUAGUAGUUGGACAUAAACUAGUACCCACUUCUCCUGUAUAUUUGACAAGUCCCUCUCCCUCACCGUCUCAUGUAGAAACUUCAUCUGCUAGUUCUGGUUCUUUCCGUCCUUCUUCGGUUAGCUCUUUUAUACAUCUGUGACAUCCUAUGGCUUAGGCUAUAGAGGAUAAGAAGGAGAUGGAGGAAUCCGGGUGUAAGGGGUCCCAGAACUAAUUUGCUCUAUGGCAACACCCAGGAGAUGUAGAGGAUCCGACAAGACCUUGCGCUUGCGCAGAAGCAGGACACCAGUAAGGCAGUAACUACAUAUACACCCUCUUCCCUCGCUUCUCUGGAGAGGAACAUACGGUAUGUAUUGAUUCAGAAGUUCCAUCCAUGUGUUUUCUCAUGUAUUUGUAUGCUAGUGUGCCAAUCAGAUUCGUGGGUGAUUGUAAUCAUCUAAUGAUCCAAGUUUUAGGGAGUUUUCUGAUACCAUAGACCUUUACACUGAAAAGUAGCUUGGAGAAGCAGCUCCAAAUAUGUCAUUGCUCGACAAAAGGCUUAUUUAGUAUGGGAAACGUGUGAAUAUCAACAUUUUUAUUAAUCUAGUUUUCUUGGGCCGAGCAGAUCUAAAGAAAAUUUGCACAAUGACCAUCAAACCAUACCCUGAUGGAUUAGAUGGCUCAAGGAUGUCUCCUUGUCCAAAGAUGUUGGAAUUUGCUCUUAAACAUUGGAACCCUGAUGAUAUAACCACAAUGCUCCUAAAUAUGUUCCUAUAAUACUAGUGUCUUGGUUAAGUGUGGUUGUUUUGUACUACAUCCUAAAUUUUUGCACUUGAGUGGUGCCCAGCCGGACCAAAUGGAGCGCCAUAGCAGCGAUUCCACAACUCCAGCGAGCACUGACUAUGCCGACUUCACGGUAAUACUGCCCAGAUGUCGAGAAUCACAGACAAUUUGUCCUGAGUAAAAUAGAUGGUUAGUCAUUGAACUUGAAUCGCUUACUCGUUUUAGUCACUGUACUCUGAAAUACGCAAAUUACGGUCAUCGAAUACGCGCGAGGGUUCCAAUCGAUGGUCACUGGCAGCGGUAUAGCACUGUAUUUGCUGACAUGGCGUACUGUGGAUCUCACAUGUCAGGUCUCCACUAUGUUUCACUUUGCAAAAAAACCCCAAAUAUAGUUUCUCCCCAACAAAAAUGUACUCCUUAAAUUCAGAAGAAAAAUACAUCUUGGUAAAGUAGAAUGCGUUGGUCAUACUAACCAGCGGGGCCCUGGUCAGGGGCACCCACCCACCUUCUUCCUCCUCUCUCUCCACGGAUGCACGCCGGCGCGCCGCCUGGCACCUCCUCUAUCCCUCCCUAGUUGCGGCGCCCGCCCCCUCUUCUCCACCCCAUCCAUGUGCGGUGCGGGCGCGUUGCCUCUGCCGUGUACAACGAUGCCGAUGCCGGCGAGAAUGGAGUCCGGUGCGAAGCCCGUUCUCGGCCUCGACGAUAACAGAGGAUCUCGAGCUCAUCUGCUCGCCCGACGAAAGAGGAGGAACCCUCUCCCCUACGGUGCAGCCCUCCCCACCCCUGCAUCUUCCUAGCCGGCGGCGCCCCACCCCUGCCUUGCGAUGGGCCGGACGCCACCCAGCAUGGAUGAAGCACCGGAGACCUCCGUCGGCUGCAGCUCCCUGCUGCUGCGCCGGAGCUUUGAGUGGACGUUUCCCUACGGCAAAGACCCAGGCAAAAAAUCCCAAUCGCUCUCCCGCCGGGCUCUCUAGGAGGACUCCCCACCGUCGAUGAAUACGACGACGACAUUGCGCAUCCGAGGCAUCUGAGCGCAGCACGGUCGCUGCCGACGUAGCGGCUCACGUCCGCUUCCUCGAUCAGGGAUGAAGUGUUGGAGGAUGGUGCCGACGCAUCAAUAAUGUUGGAGCUCGCCGCGGCAUCCGACGCUGCCCAAAUCCAUGACCACACCUUCUCAGAUCGUGAGAGGGUGGAGGAGGAGGGCGUCGAGCAGAAGCUGUUGCACCGCGGCGGUGGUGGGUCAGGGCCAGACGGAGGGAGGGGAGGCUGUGUGUGACCGCGCAUGCAAACGAGGCGGUUCCGAGCGCAGCAGCAGGGCACAUGGCGGACAGUGCUUCGGUGACUUUGCCACCCCCCAAAGUCAGUGACUUUGAGUCACUUACAAGUGGGGUCAAAUGGGAUCCACAUAAUGAACGGUCCACAUGUCAGUCACCCAAAAUCACGACAAAAUCACCCUGGCAAAGUCACCGAAGCUCAAUCCGACGAACGGUAGUGCUCAGCCACACAAGACAUUUUUUAGAUCUUAUUUGCUUCCUCGACUUUACAUUCCAGCCCCUUUCUUUCUAUUAGAAACUAGUCCCUGCAUAUGGUACGAGGCUCUACCACGACGAGUGACCGUAGAUGAACCCUCGCGCGUAUUCGGUGACCGUAAAUUGCGUAUUUUGGAGUACAGUGACUAAAGAGAGCGAGCGAUUCAAGUUUAAUGACUAACCGUGUAUUUUACUCAUUUGUCCUCCAUGUUAGGCACCAAGGCGGUGGCAUCGACAUUCUCAAAUAGAUGAAUUAACUCAAUGAUCCAUUGAACAUUGAGUACAGUACUGGUGUUAAUCUGAAGAUGUUGUUCAUCUAACACUUGGCAAACUGUGGCAUAGUGAGUGGUCAUUUUUUUAUUAAUCUGUUUAAUGAUUCUUCAUUUGUUCUUCCAUUUUGUAUACAACGACCCUAAAUUUCCCAGCUAAUUAUAUACUAUGGAAAUUUGGUACAGUAUAAAGUCUUUUAGAAGAUUCCCAGAUAUAUUCGCUCACAGAUAUUUAAUAUGCAACUAUAAGUUAAGAAGUAUCCAGAAUAUGUUUCCUGCCUGGAAGAGCUAACACUUAGCAAAAUGUGUGAUAGUGAUUGGUCAUUUUUGAUAUAUAUAUUCCCUAUGUGUGUCCACUCUAACCAGUGUUUAGUAGUAUCCGGUAUAUGUUUCUGUGAUAUAUUCCGAGGCUCUAGAGGCGUGCCGUGGAAGCACAUCAAUCGUAUUUUGACGUCCUCCGGCGACUGAAGAUGAUCACCGGUGAUCCAGGAGACUAUCAGACUGUAACUGUACUCUCCGUCGUCAUUGAUGAUGCGUGAAGCCUUGAAGGACGUCAAGUUUGGCGGCCUCAACUUCCCGCAGGGAACAAUCAUCCAGAUAGCCAGUUCCGGCCAGACCGGUUCGUGAACGGUGCCGCUGGCACCUGGAAGCCGGCGCACAUGUAUAUGCCGUUUGGGAACGGGCCAAGGAUGUGUCCAGGGCAGCACCUGGCGUUGGUGGAGCUCAAGGUGGUGCUGGUGCGCCUGCUGUCUGUGAGCAAGUACACCUUCUCACUGUCACCGGCACGCGCCGCUGUUCAGGCUCACCAUCGAGCCUGGGUUCGGCAUGCCGGAUGCCGCUCGUGGUCACAAGUCUUCCAUGAUCUCUGCCUGUCAUCUGCAGCAAGAAUGUACUGCGCCUGAUGUGUUCGUAAUCAGCAAGGCGGUGGCUGCGUGCAUCUUAGAUACAGAGGCUGUAAGUGAACUCUUACCUUUGUAUCACUCUGAAAUCAUCCAGACAGCUUUGGUCAAACAAAUUACUUCCUCCAUCCGAAAAUAUAGACAAAUCUGAGUCACUUAUUUCCGGACGGAAGGAGUACAAUUAUUGAUGUUGGCGAAAUUGGUAUGUUCUACGCAUGUAAUAUAAUGUUCUGUGUGAUCAGAUGGUAUCUCCCCAAA